UACGUAGGGGGCGAGCGUUGUCCGGAGUUACUGGGCUUAAAGGGCGCGUAGGCGGCCUGCCAAGUCAGGAGUGAAAUCUUUCGGCUCAACCGGAAAAGUGCUUUUGAUACUGGCGGGCUAGAGGGAGAUAGGGGCAUGUGGAACUUCCGGUGGAGCGGUGAAAUGCGUUGAUAUCGGAAGGAACGCCGGUGGCGAAAGCGACGUGCUGGACCUCUUCUGACGCUGAGGCGCGAAAGCCAGGGGAGCGAACGGG
rnacentral:rRNA from 1 species